CACACUGCUCUUCCUGGAUGAAAAGAUAACAGAUUAGAUAAACAAAUCCAAACAGAGGAGAAGUCGCAAAGAAUUUGAAUCGGUUUAGACCUUACCUAGAUUAGUUGGGAUCUAUUGUAGUUGAUCGCCGUGACGAAGAACCCCUAAUUUCAAUGGACACCCUCAGAUCCAGCCCUAGAUCCCUGAAAACUCAGCGCAUUGUUUCCCAUUUUCAUUUUGACGAUCAUGGCUAUUCCAGUGAAAGGACCAUUUCGUUGUCAAUGUCUCGAGUGUGACAGCUCUGGGGAAUUUAAGAGAUCCUUAUUUAAAAAGGUGCACAUUUGCCCAGAGAGGUGCCAUUACACCAUUGAUUAAGAUGCUUCAGUCAUCAGAUGAGCAGGACACACACAAUCAAGCUGGCAUCGGACAAAGAGGAGGCAUCAUCUCACUACUAAAUCUUCUUGAUGUGAAUACUGGAUCUGUCCAACACAAUAUUGCAUUUGCUUAGGCCUUGCAGAUAACGAGGAAAAUCUAGCAGAUUUCAUUAAGGCUGGAGGUAUCCAAAGGCUUCAAGAUGACAACUUCACCGUUCAACCGACUAGGGAUUGUGUGGUGAGGACAUUGAAGAGGCUAGAUAACAAGAUUCAUGGGCCUGCACUGAACCAAUUAUUAUAUCUGAUGAGAACCACUGAGAAGACUAUACAAAGGCGAAUUGAUUUGGCUCUUGCACAUAUUUGUGACCCUAAAGAUGGAAAAUUGAUUUCGUUGAUAACAAUGGGGUAAGAGUUUUUUUGGAGCUUUUAUACUUUCCAAGCAUGAAAGAGCAGACAUAUUGUUAGAGACCUUUAAUCGAAUAGAAAAGCUACUUCCAGUGCACCAGAGGACUCAGCUCCUUCCUCACCCACCAAUGGCAACUGGUGUUUCUGGGUGAGGAGUUUGUGAACAACCCUACUUUGUCUGAUGUCACAUUCCCAAUCCAUGAUACAACAUUUAAUCCCAUUUUAUGUUUCUGUUAAUAUUGAGAUAUACGUCCUCUUCGCAUUCGCUAUCUUCAUUUGUAUUUCCAUUUAAAUAGAAUUUCAACAUUAUACAUGUGCAUUAAUAUGAAUGUAGACAUCUUCUCUUCUUCUUAUACAUCUGUUCUGAUAAUCACUAUGACUAUACUAAGCAAACCACUUGACUCCACCUCGACAGUUUAAAGUACAACAACACAUGUAUCUUUUAACACAGCGCGGGGGCUCAGCUCCUCAACUUUCCCUUUGUUUUUUACUAUGAGUUACCAAAGCAAAGACAGCUGGGGAUUCUUCAUAGAGGUUACAUUCUCUAGACUCUUCCAUAUCUUUCAAUUUAACUGAUUCGUCACUUCUACCGUCUACAGUUACAUAUAAAAAUUGCUAGUAACAACUUAUCGCAAAGAUUUUAUUGAUGUUCUCUCCUCUGUAUUGUCUGGUAAAUUUUUGGUAGUGACAUUUCUUUUAAAAUUAUUGAGAUUUGAUGUCUUUUU